GGCUAGAAUUAUAUCACCUCUUUGAAGAAAGGUUGCUUUUUACCUCGUACAAAAUGUUCUGGCUGGAGACGGUGGCUCAUGCCUGUAAUCCCAGUGCUUUGGGAGGCCAAGGAGGGUGGAUUACCUAAGGUCAGGAGUUCAAGACCAGCCUGAUCAACAUGGAGAAACCCCAUCUCUACUAAAAAUACAAAAUUAGCUGGGCAUGGGAGCACAUGUCUCUAAUACCAGCUACUCAGGAAGCACAUGUCUUUAAUACCAGCUACUCAGGGAGCACAUGUCUGUAAUACCAGCUACUCAGCUACCCAUUCAUCGUCCACCACAGCUGUACCUGAAGAUAAGUUUAAUAUCCCCAGUCCUCAGAUGGACAUGCUGCAGAGUUGAAUUUCCCAAGCUCUUGGUCUUUUAAAUGGAAGAGACACAUGUGAACUCGGGAAUGAGUGGAAGGUUAAUGCCAUGGGCUACUACACUGAAUUUGUCACAAAGCCCUGGUAUAAUUUCUUGCUAGGCCAAGUUAUUCCAGCACUUCUGUGUGCUGGAAGAAUGAAAACCUAUUCAGAUCCCAAACACUAUCAUUAUCGGAUGGUCUCAAUGGUCAGCUAACCCAGGGUUUGUUUGAGUAGGUACAUUGCACUGUGGGCUUUAGUGUGAUCAUUAAUGUAAAACACACAGAGUCCUCAGGCUUUUGGUCUACAGCGUUGAGGUCAUUCCUCAGCUCCUGUUCAAAAGCAGACAAUAAUCAGUGACAUACUCUAUUGUAUUUAAGGAGAUAAUCACCACAAGUCUUAGAAAUUCAGUGGAAACCAAUCCCAACACAUAGCAUCCAAUAAAAUCUCAAGACUCAACUUGGGUGUUAGCCUGGCACCCAUUUUCCCUGAUGGAAUCUCUGCACAGCUGGGUUGGAGAGGGUCAGUGCCCACCCCUUGCCCCGCCUCGCUGCUCCCCAUGACAGACUGUCUCUGUGCUGGAGUCAGUGUGAGCAUGAGCAGCAGUGAACUCCAUGGUGCACACACAUGGUGUUGAAAAGGAAGAGCGGAAGAACAAAUAUCACAUGCUAAGUAGGGGUCAUCGUUAAAUGGUAGGAUAAUAGAGUAUUUUCAAAUCUCUGUUUAUUUGCCUUGUAACAGAAAGUUAGUAAUAAAAUCUUUUGGCUAGAAUUAAAUCUCCUAUUUUAAGAAAGGUUACUUCUUGUUUAGUACAAAAUCUUCUAGAAGGGAUGAUAAACAGAUCAGCAGCACAUGUGGAUUCUGAGGAGGAAAUGACUUUGGCAGGGAUCAAUAAGAGGGCAAGUUAGCUCAGGUCAGAUUAGGAAGGAGGAGCCCUAAGAGGCUGCCAGGGACACACAGCCUGCACUGCUGGUGUGCACUGUUUGAGAUUGGCUAUUAUAUGUUUAUGAGGCGGCCUGGAGCUAGGAAGCCAAAGGCCCUGAUUCCCUUUCUUCCUGCAUCUCUCCUGUGCCUGCUACCCUCCUCCCAAGCCCACCUCAAGCAGUGUUACUGAAUUGUUCAUGAGCGCCACCACCAAGGUGCUGACGGUCACUCUGUAUCCUCCUAGUUGAGAUGAAACGGCAACUACGGCGACUACGGGAGCUCCACCUAUACAGCACAUGGAAGAAGUACCAAGAGGCGAUGAAGACAUCCUUGGGAGUUCCACAAUGUGAGCGUGACGAAGGCUCCUUGGGCAAGCCAUUGUGUCCACCCGAGAUACUCUCGGAGACGUUGCCAGGCUCUGUGAAGAAAAGGGUAUGCUUUCCAUCAGAAGAUCAUCUAGAGGAGUUUAUAGCAGAACAUCUCCCUGAAGCAUCCAAUCAGAGUCUCCUCACUGUUGCCCAUGCAGACACAGGCAUCCAAACCAACGGUGACCUGGAAGACCUGGAGGAGCAUGGGCCAGGGCAGACAGUCUCUGAGGAAGCCACAGAAGUUCACAUGAUGGAGGGGGACCCAGACACACUGGCCGAACUUCUGAUCAGGGAUGUACUUCAGGAGCUGUCCAGUUACAACGGCGAGGAGGAGGACCCAGAGGAGGUGAAGACAUCCUUGGGAGUUCCACAACGUGGUGACCUGGAAGACCUGGAGGAGCAUGUGCCAGGGCAGACAGUCUCUGAGGAAGCCACAGGGGUUCACAUGAUGCAGGUGGACCCAGCCACACUGGCAAAGCAAUUGGAAGACUCCACCAUUACAGGCAGCCACCAGCAGAUGUCAGCAAGUCCUUCCUCUGCACCUGCAGAAGAAGCAACAGAAAAGACCAAAGUGGAAGAGGAAGUGAAAACCAGAAAGCCCAAGAAGAAAACCAGGAAGCCCAGCAAGAAAAGCCGGUGGAAUGUCCUGAAAUGUUGGGACAUUUUUAAUAUAUUUUAGAGACCUCUGAAGAUUCCUCGACCACCAGGAAGGGCCCCGACGUGGGGAUGUCAACAUGGCUCAGACUUGAUGUGGAUCGUGAUCAUUUCGGGAAAUGUGUUACUCCAAAAACUUUUAUAAUCUUUGCUUAAUUUGUUUUUAAAUACUUUCCUGGCUGGGCGUGGUGGCUUAUGCCUGUAAUCCCAGCACUUUGGGAGGCCGAGGCGGGUGGAUCACCUGAGGUCAGGAGUUAAAGACCAGCCUGGCCAACAAGGUGAAACCCCGUCUCUACUAAAAAUACAAAAAUUAGCUAGGCGUGGUGGCGCACUCUUGUAGUCCCAGCUAUUUGGGAGGCUGAGGCAGGAGAAUCACUUGACCUCAGGAGGCGGAGGUUGCAGUGAGCCGAGAUCAUGCCACUGCACCCCAGCACCUGGCUACAGAGUGAGACUUUGUCUCAAAAAAAAAAAAAAAAGAACAAAAAAAUUCUGACUUUAACCUCUGUUUUUCAGAGGGCACAAAUUGUUCUUGUAUUGUUUCCAUUUUACAUUUUUUUCUUGAAGUUAUUUUCCAAUUGUUUUCAUUCUUUCUGAAGUUUUGUUUACUCGGUUUUAAGUUUUUGUAAUUUUGAUAGACUUUUGUGCUUUCAUUUUCUUAAUGACUUUUACCUCAUUUUUAAAACAAAUCCAUAGUAUGGAUGAUAUUGAUGAUGAAAUGUCUUACGAUGAUCAUUUAGAGGUUUAUUUUGAACAACUGGCAAUUCCAGGAAUGAUGGAAUAAAGCAUACGAAGUAGAAGGACUGGAACCUCCAGAAAAAGUACUUUAAGUUACCUACAGGUGAUCCUAGUCAGGCAAAUGAAAACAGUAGCCUAAAGUGUCAGUUUCAACCAGAAAAUAACAGCUCUGAUUUCUCAUGGCUCAUACUCGUCUGAAACGACUCAGGUAGAGGCUGAGGAAGGCCGUGUUGUUUGUCUACCUGGGACUACACCUACUGAAAGAAGUUCUCAAGUUCUGAUUGAGUUCUAAAAUUUUUUGAAGAUUGGAAUUCUUCAUAUGUAAAAAGAGAAGAGAAAGACAUUCUUGAUUUUGGUGACUAGAGUUGUAGAUGCUGGAAGCUUUGCCACUAACAUUGAUGAACCAGAUGCAUGUCACCAGCCCAUCACGGUGAUUCUUAAUGCCGGCACCAUGGGCCCGGCACUGCCACGUUUUCCAAGGAACCUGCCGGAGCUCCUGCGGAAGCUGCUCCUCAGGCGAUGGAGUCCCUUCGCUGGUAGGCCCUUCUUCAGUCACCACAGGAUGCCUGCCAUUCAUGAACAAGAAGGAGAGGACGGGCUUUGAAUAAAAAACAGGAUCCAGGAAAUAUUUGUGAGGCCAUUUGGACUUCAGUGUGAAAUGGUGUUAAAAGAUGAAGUCAUUUAUUCAAGAAGUAAACCUCUGCCACCUGGACUGUGCGCAGACAUUUCAUUGAUUUUGUUUAAUAAACAUUUUCUGGCUUUGGGAGGUGUCUCUCUUGGUAGAACACAGUGUCAAAGAUGGACAAGAUGGACACAUAGUCCAUUAUUUGGUAUUGUUUGUGUAUGGGAGCAGACCACAAAUUAAUGUUUGGAGAACAAUUUUGUCAUAACACACUGUUGAGGCUCAGUUGUACAGAACUGGAAAAGUCUUCAGCUUGGCACAUGUCCUGAUUCAGCCUUUGUUUAACAUAUAUUCCAAUCCGGAUUCUAUCUUCACUGGCUACAAAGACCACCUGAUACGUGCACCACGACACAGGAGCUGCUGGAGAGGGGGUAGUGUUAUCACCUCAAACCCACAGCCAUAUUUUUCAAAAGCCAGCUUAGAGAGAGGUGUACUGAUAGCUGCAUAGAGAACAUGCAGUCCAUCCAUUCUUCCCAGUGAUGUACAUUUCUCAAUCAGUAACCACGUGGUAUACCAGCCUUGAGUGUCACAUCUCCCAACCAUACCAAAUGGAUCACCUAACUGGAGGUGGGGGGGGCCCUCAGAAAUGAGAUUUCGUAUUUACUGUAAAAUUGCCUUAUUUUUUCUUUUGAGGUGGAGUCUCACUCUGUUGCCUGGGCUGGAGUGCAAUGGUGUGAUCACUGCUCACUGCAACCUCCGCCUCCUGGGUUCAAGCAGUUCUCCUGCCUCAGCCUCCCAAGUAGCUGCAAUUACAGGUGCAUGCCACCACUCCCAGCAAAUUUUUAUAUUUUUAGUGGAGACAGGGUUUCACCAUGUUGACCAGGCUGGUCUCAAACUCCUGACCUCAGGUGAUCUGCCCACCUUGGCCUCCCAAAGUUCUGGGAUUAAAGGUACGAGCCACCGCAACUGGCUGAGAAUCUUUUUAUUUGCUGAUUUGUCUCUUGUGUAUUUUCUUUGUUCAGAUGUCUCUUCAGAUCUUUUUCUCACUUUUAAAUUGUUUUUUAAUUGUUAAGAAUUUUCUGUCUAGUUUAGAUAUAAGCCCUUUAUCAGACAUGUGUUUUGCAAAUAUUUUCUCCUAGUCUGUGGCUUGUAUUCUGUCUCUUAACACUCAUUUUAUUUUUACUUUUGGAACUAAAGAAGAAGAAUGGUCAGCUUUCCAUUAUUCUUGUAACAGUAAUGGCAGAACCAAGUCUGCUAAUGCUACACUGAGCAAAGAAAGUCACCUGGUGAAGUCCAACAUUAAUGAAAUGGGGUAGUACAUGCAGGCAGCGUUGGGGGUGGGGAGGGAACAAAUGCUUCUUGAGAGUAAUAUAAUCUGCCAUACCAUCCAGGAACCUACAAUGGCUAUCUAUUACCUUAUUCUCUGGUUUGUUUAAUGUUCGAAUCUUUCCGAAAGAUCCUUCAACCUUUCUGGAAGAAUCUAAUCUGAUAACACCAUCAAAAACACAUUACUUCUUUUGGCAUAAUUUAAAUUGUAAGACAUCAUUCACAUUUAUCAAUGUUACAUAUAUAAGAACUCACCCACCAUAUUCUUCCUUGAGGAAUUACAGCAUGUAAUUCUAUAAUCAUUUUUAUAAUCGUCUAACAAUUUUAUAAUGGAUUGGUUGCUUACUAUCAAUUUUUUAAAAGUCAUGGCUUCUCCAGUCAUUUCUUGCUUAUCGAAAUUAUUUCAUGAGAUGGGUCUCUCCUUGUAUAUUUGAAAAUGAGGUUUGCUUCCUUCUACUUAAAAAACAACUUGAACAUACCUGUUUGGAUCACAUGGUCUUGUCCUGAUAACUUGGAAGAGGUUGCUUCAGCAUUGUUCUUAUUGUUGUGGUGGUUAUUAUUAAUAUUGUUUCAUAUUCUGUUUAAAAAAUUAAAAUUUUACACAAGACCAAUGUCUUCUUUUCAAUUCCAGUACAUUUUUCAGAAGUAACUAAUGCUAUUGGCUUUGUGCAUUGUAAUUUCAGACCAUUUUAUAUGUCUUUAGUUAUAUGUACAGUAUACACACAUAUGUGUCAUAUUAUUCCAUUUUUUCUAGCAUUAAACAUUGCUAUGGAAAACUCUCGGAAAAAUAUUUAUUUGAACAGAACUUUUUCUUUUCUCAGAUGUACCCUCCUUAGGAAUCUUUCUUUGAUCCUUGAAGUUUGGUAACAACUUUAAAUAUGUGUAUCCCAGCUGGGAGCAGCGGCUCACACCUGUAAUUUCAGCACUUUGGGAGGCCGAGGAGGGUGGAUCACCUGAGGUCAGGAGUUUGCCUGGCCAACAUGGUGAAACCCCGUCUUUACUGAAAAUACAAAAAGUUAGCCAGGUGUGGUGGCUGGCACCUGUAAUCCCAGCUACAUGGGAGGCUGAGGCAGGAGAAUCGCUUGAACCUAUAGAGACAAGGUUUCACCAUGUUGACCAGGCUGGUCUCGAACUCCUGACCUCAGGUGAUCCACCCACCUCAGCCUCCCAAAAUGCUGGGAUUACAGGCAUGAGCCAUUGCACCCAGCCAUACAGGAGCAAGUUUAAAAAUUAAAUAUUUAUUUGAAUAACAAGCUUACAUUGGAGCUGCAAUGUUGGCAAUCCAGAUUUUGAACACGGAUCACAAAAAGCAUGCAUAAAAUCCUACUGGCCCAGAGAACAAAACACUGCUCAGAAUUAAGCGAAAUAGCUGCUACUGUUAAGAAAACAGGCCUGAAAUCAAUAUACAAGAUUUUAAAAAAUGUAUUGGCCGGAUGCAGUGGCUCAUUCCUGUAAUUCCAGAACUUUGGGAGGCCAAGACAGGAGAAUCACCUGAGGUCAGGAGUUCAAGACCAGCCUGGCCAACAUGGUGAAACUCCAUCUCUACUAAAAAUAAAAAAUUAGCUGGGUGUGGUGACACAUGCCUGUAGUCCCAGCUACCUGGGAGGCUGAGGCAGAAUAAUUUCUCGAACCCAGGAGGAGGAGGUUUGCAAUGGCAUGAUCUCUGCUCACCGCAACCUCCGCCUCCCGGGUUCAAGCAAUUCUCCUACUUCAGCCUCCCGAGUAGCUGGGAUUACAGGCAUGUGCCACCAUGCCUGGCUACUUUUCUGUAUUUUUAGUAGAGACAGAGUUUCUCCAUGUUGGUCAGGCUGGUCUUGAACUCACAACCUCCGGUGAUCUGCCUGCCUCGGCCUCCCAUAGUGCUGGGAUUACAGGCAUGAGCCACCAUGCCUGCCCAUGAAAGCACUUUUAAAAAGAGAGCACCUCUGCUGCCUGGUCAUAUUCUGUACCUGUUCCCAAACCCUGAAACCAGUGAUGUCAAUGGCUGCGUGGGCAUUGAACGUGUACAUGAUUCCUGCAGCUUUCCUGUUGACCUGGACCAUGUUCAUCAAUGCUUUUUGGUACAUUAAUUCUACAUCUUCUUCGGUGACCACAGUUUAUGUUUAUUUCAUUUUUCAGGAAUAUCCAGCCACUGGUGCACAGCCAUUGCCACUUGUGCCCCCAGGGGAUCUUGUCAACUCCAGUAUGUCCCCCCAGCACUGUGUUAUCUGGCAUAAUAAAUGUAGUUGGGCUGUAGUUGUAGUGACUCCUCCCAAAACAACCCAGGAGUUUAAUACUGUUUGGCCACCGGUUACAGACAUUGCUGCCCCUUCCGCUGCGGCUUUAAAAGCCUAUCUAAUCGGCUGGGUGUGAUGGUGGCUCAGACCUAUAAUCCCAGCACUUUGGGAGUCCAAGGUGGGUGGAUCACCUGAGGUCAGGAGUUUGAGACCGGCCUGGCCAACAUGGUGAAACCCCAUCUCUACUAAAAAUACAGCAAAUUAGCUGGGCGUGGUGGCGCAUGACUGUAAUCCCAGCUACUCGGGAGGCUGAGGUAGGAGAAUUGCUUGGGUGGCAGAGUAAGACUCCGUCCCAAAAAAAAAAGUUAUCUAAUCAGGGACGUCACCUUUCCCUGCCAGUCAUUUUGUUACCAAUGAAAGAAAACAUAUUCAAAUCAAUUUUUAGUUCAGAAAAUGUUUCUUUCAUUGUAUCUUUGAAUUUUAUUGUUCUGCAUUUUUUACUUCAAAAACACCUACUAUAUGCAUUUUUUCUCUCGUUUCCUUUUUUUUCCAAGAAAUGUUUUUGUCCUUUUGAUUUUUUCACUGACCAUUACCAUUAUUUAUAUACCAUGUACCUGGAGAGUUUCCAAUGUUUCUCUUUGGUCUGAGAUACUUGCUAUGAUUUUCACUUUUUAAAUGCUCUUUUGAGAUUUGUUUUGUGGCCUAAAAUGUGGUCUAUCCUGGAGAAUGUUCUGUGAGCUGAUGAGAAGAAUGCACGUUCUGCAGUUGGUGGGUGAAAUGUUCUGUAAUUACCUGUGAGGUCCCUUUGACUUCUCUUGGAGUCAGUCUGGUCUGUUACUUUUCUGCCUAGAGGGUGUGUCUGUUGCUGAAAGUGGGUGUUGGAGUCCCCAGCUAUUAUUGUCUGUCUCUGUCUGUUGCUCGAAUAACUCUUACUUUAAUAACUGGGGCUCCUGUGUCAGGUGUGUUUACAUUGACAACUGUCCUACCUUCUUGCUGAAUUGAUCUCUUUAUCGUUUUAUAAUGACCUUUAUUUUCUAUUUUUGUGCUUUUUUGACUUAAAGCCUACUUUGUGUGACAAGCAUAGCUAUACAUACUCACUUUUGGUAACACUUUUCAUUUCUUAUCAUCUUCAUUGAAUCUCACUUCUUCACAUUUACCAAAAUGUCUACUUUUGAGCUGUGGCACCUCUUUGAAUCUUCAGAUCCACCACAUGCUGAUCAAGCCUUCCUUUUUGUCUGUACUCUGAGGAAUCCCAAACAGGCAUUUUUGCAAGAAAGUCUAGGAGGGAAACAUAAAUCUAUGUGUCAAAAAAAUGAACAUAGAAAAUAAUGUGUCCUGGUUAACAAAAGUUCUCAUUGUAAAGUGUUAGGCACAAGACUAUGGAAUUUCAUGUGCCAUAAAUAAAAUUGUCUUGAUUUGUCUAAAACUACAUUUUGUCUAAAACUACUUUUAAAAAUUACAUGUUACUCUAAUA
rnacentral:lncRNA from 1 species